CCUACGGGAGGCAGCAGUGAGGGAUAUUGGUCAAUGGGGGAAACCCUGAACCAGCAACGUCGCGUGAGGGAAGACGGCUCUCCGAUUUUAAACCUCUGUCUUCUGUGAAGUUAAUGACGUUAGCAGUGGAGGAUGCUCUGGCUAACUACGUGCCAGCAGCCGCGGUAAGACGGAGGGAGCAAGCGUUGUCCGGAUUUACUGGGUGUAAAGGGUGCGUAGGCGGCCCUGCAAGUCAGAAGUGAAAUCCAUGGGCUUAACCCGUGAACUGCUUUGGAAACUGUAGGGCUUGAGUGAAGUAGAGGCAGGCGGAAUUCGCGGUGUAGCGGUGAAAUGCGUAGAGAUCGGGAGGAACACCGGUGGCGAAGGCAGCCUGCUGGGCUUUAACUGACGCUGAAGCACGAAAGCGUGGGUAGCGAACAGGAUUAGAUACCCUAGUAGUC
rnacentral:rRNA from 1 species